rnacentral:rRNA from 1 species
UGCGAAGCGAAGCAGUGAUGUGAAGCAAGUCGCNCCAAAGCCAGUCCCAGUUCGGAUAAGAGGCUGAAACUCGCCUCUUUGAAGUCGGAAUCGCUAGUAAUCGCAGAUCAGCAUGUUGCGGUGAAUACGUUCCCGGGUCUUGUACACACCGCCCGUCAAACCAUGAGAGUCACCAACACCCGAAGUCCGCCUUGGCGGCCUAAGGUGGGGGAGAUGAUUGGGGUUAAGUCGUAACAAGGUAAC